rnacentral:rRNA from 1 species
UACGUAGGGUCCGAGCGUUGUCCGGAAUUAUUGGGCGUAAAGGGCUCGUAGGCGGUCUGUUGCGUCGGGAGUGAAAACUUACAGCUUAACUGUGAGCGUGCUUUCGAUACGGGCAGACUUGAGGCAUUCAGGGGAGAACGGAAUUCCUGGUGUAGCGGUGAAAUGCGCAGAUAUCAGGAGGAGCACCGGUGGCGAAGGCGGUUGCCUGGGGCUGUGCUGACGCUGAUGCGCGAAAGCGUGGGGAGCGAUCCGG